GGAAGACUGAGUGUUAAGAGAGAAUUUGCAUUAUCUGCUUUGUACUCUUUCACUAAAAGCUGCUGGAAAUGGUUUUCCACUAAAAUAAGGGACCUGGCCACAGAAAAGAAAAGACAUGGUAUACAGGUAACAAGAGAGCCAACAAAAGAAAAGAGGCAAAGGAAAUCCCCCAGAAUAAUGGUAAAGGAUACCCCAGGAUGACAUCUAACACAUGGGUAUAGAGAGCAUCCUAGGAGCCCCACUGAGAAACUUCUCUGGAGAAAAGAGAAAAUUGAUGGGAUAUCUGAAGGAACGAAACAUCCCAAGCCACUUUUCAAUAUAAUUGUCUUCACUCGUUCAAUAAGGAUUUACCCGGCCCCUUCUUUGUGUUGGUCACAAGUAUGCUGAGCUCCGUGACUGCAGCACACAAACCGGAGAAAUGGUCAGAUAAAGAGAUAGCUGCAAUGCAACAUAAAAGCACAGUGUUCCAUUUCGGUACAUUUCAGCUCCAGUCACAACGGCAUGUGGUCAAAACACUAACUGUGGGGUUUUCCAAGGUUGGUGACAAUGAAGGUUGGUUUCCAAUUGCCUCAGAGACAACGUGAUUCUGGGUCAGCACUGCUCUUCCCAGGCCAACUCUACAGUGUGCUUCUGGAAGACGUUCCUAAAAAUUCAGCCUUUGAUACUGUCCAUUGGAUCCAUGAACUCUCUGAUACCCCUUAAUAAAUUCCUUUCUGGUUAAAUUAGCUCA
rnacentral:lncRNA from 1 species